rnacentral:rRNA from 1 species
CCUACGGGUGGCAGCAGUGAGGAAUAUUGGUCAAUGGGCUUACGCCUGAACCAGCCAAGUCGCGUGAGGGAAGACUGCCCUAUGGGUUGUAAACCUCUUUUGUCAGGGAGCAACGCCGGCUACGUGUAGCCGGACUGAGAGUACCUGAAGAAAAAGCAUCGGCUAACUCCGUGCCAGCAGCCGCGGUAAUACGGAGGAUGCGAGCGUUAUCCGGAUUUAUUGGGUUUAAAGGGUGCGUAGGCGGAAUGCCAAGUCAGCGGUAAAAUGUCGGGGCUCAACCCCGGCCGGCCGUUGAAACUGGUUUUCUAGAGUUGGAGAGAAGUAUGCGGAAUUCGUGGUGUAGCGGUGAAAUGCAUAGAUAUCACGAAGAACUCCGAUUGCGAAGGCAGCAUACCGGCUCCAUACUGAUGCUGAGGCACGAAAGCGUGGGGAUCGAACAGGAUUAGAUACCCUUGUAGUC